GUGCUCACUUCAGCAGCACAUAUACUAAAUUUGGAAUGAUACAGAGAAGAUUAGCAUGUCCCCUGUGCAAGGAUGGCGCCCAAAUUCAUGAAGCAUUCCAUAUUUUU